GGAAUAUUGGUCAAUGGACGAGAGUCUGAACCAGCCAAGUAGCGUGCAGGAUGACGGCCCUAUGGGUUGUAAACUGCUUUUAUACAGGGAUAAAGUGACGUACGUGUACGUUUUUGUAGGUACUGUAUGAAUAAGGACCGGCUAAUUCCGUGCCAGCAGCCGCGGUAAUACGGAAGGUCCGGGCGUUAUCCGGAUUUAUUGGGUUUAAAGGGAGCGCAGGCUGAUGAUUAAGCGUGACGUGAAAUGUAGCCGCUCAACGGCUGAACUGCGUCGCGAACUGGGUUUCUUGAGUGAGUACGACGUGGACGGAAUUCGUGGUGUAGCGGUGAAAUGCUUAGAUAUCACGAAGAACCCCGAUUGCGAAGGCAGCCAACAAGGCCUUUACUGACGCUAAAGCUCGAAGGUGCGGGUAUCGAACA
rnacentral:rRNA from 1 species